rfam:Exiguobacterium sp. AT1b, complete genome.
UGAAUGGCAUUGAUGAGGAGUAGUACGCAUCCUCCAUUCCUUUUAGAGACGCGACCGCUUGGUGAAAGGUUGCGAGGGAUGGACGCGGAAGUCGCCUCGGAGCUGACUUUCUGAAUGGAGUAGGAAAGUUCGGUCCAUCGACCGUUAUUCGAUUUUGAGGGCGCCACUUGUUGGCGAACUAAGGUGGUACCGCGGAAGAUCACGGCUUCUUUCGUCCUUAGC